rnacentral:rRNA from 1 species
GAACGCUGGCGGCAGGCCUAACACAUGCAAGUCCGGGCGGUAACAGGGAUAGCUUGCUAUCUGCUGACGAGCGGCGGACGGGUGAGUAAUGCAUAGGAAUCUGCCUGAUAGUGGGGGAUAGCCCAGAGAAAUUUGGAUUAAUACCGCAUACGCCCUACGGGGGAAAGCAGGGGACUCUUCGGAGCCUUGCGCUAUCAGAUGAGCCUAUGUCGGAUUAGCUUGUUGGUGAGGUAACGGCUCACCAAGGCGACGAUCCGUAGCUGGUCUGAGAGGAUGAUCAGCCACACUGGGACUGAGACACGGUCCAGACUCCUACGGGAGGCAGCAGUGGGGAAUAUUGGACAAUGGGCGCAAGCCUGAUCCAGCCAUGCCGCGUGUGUGAAGAAGGCCUUCGGGUUGUAAAGCACUUUCAGCGAGGAGGAAAGGGGUGUUGCUAAUAUCAACGCCCUGUGACGUUACUCGCAGAAGAAGCACCGGCUAACUCCGUGCCAGCAGCCGCGGUAAU